GAUGAAGAACGUAGUGAAAUGCGAUAAUUAAUGUGAAUUGCAGAAUUCAGUGAAUCAUCGAGUCUUUGAACGCACAUUGCGCCCCCUGGUAUUCCGGGGGGCAUGCCUGUCCGAGCGUCAUUGCUGCCCUCAAGCACGGCUUGUGUGUUGGGCUUCCGUCCCUGGCAACGGGGACGGGCCCAAAAGGCAGUGGCGGCACCAUGUCUGGUCCUCGAGCGUAUGGGGCUUUGUCACCCGCUCCCGUAGGUCCAGCUGGCAGCUAGCCUCGCAACCAAUCUUUUUAACCAGGUUGACCUCGGAUCAGGUAGGGAUACCCGCUGAACUUAAGCAUAUCAAUAAGCGGAUGA
rnacentral:misc_RNA from 1 species